rnacentral:rRNA from 1 species
UUGAACGCUGGCGGCAUGCCUUACACAUGCAAGUCGAACGGCAGCAUGAUCUAGCUUGCUAGAUUGAUGGCGAGUGGCGAACGGGUGAGUAAUACAUCGGAACGUGCCCUGUAGUGGGGGAUAACUAGUCGAAAGAUUAGCUAAUACCGCAUACGACCUGAGGGUGAAAGUGGGGGACCGCAAGGCCUCAUGCUAUAGGAGCGGCCGAUGUCUGAUUAGCUAGUUGGUGAGGUAAAGGCUCACCAAGGCGACGAUCAGUAGCUGGUCUGAGAGGACGAUCAGCCACACUGGGACUGAGACACGGCCCAGACUCCUACGGGAGGCAGCAGUGGGGAAUUUUGGACAAUGGGGGCAACCCUGAUCCAGCAAUGCCGCGUGUGUGAAGAAGGCCUUCGGGUUGUAAAGCACUUUUGUCCGGAAAGAAAUCGCACUUACUAAUAUUAGGUGUGGAUGACGGUACCGGAAGAAUAAGGACCGGCUAACUACGUGCCAGCAGCCGCGGUAAUACGUAGGGUCCAAGCGUUAAUCGGGAAUUACUGGGCGUAAAGCGUGCGCAGGCGGGUUGUGCAAGACCGAUGUGAAAUCCCCGGGGCUUAACCUGGGAAUUGCAUUGGUGACUGCACGGCUAGAGUGUGUCAGAGGGGGGGUAGAAUUCCACGUGUAGCAGUGAAAAUGCGUAGAGAUGUGGAAGGAAUACCGAUGGCGAAGGCAGCCCCCUGGGAUAACACUGGACGCUCAUGCACGAAAGCGUGGGGAGCAAACAGGAUUAGAUACCCUGGUAGUCCACGCCCUAAACGAUGUCAACUAGUUGUUGGGGAUUCAUUUCCUUAGUAACGUAGCUAACGCGUGAAGUUGACCGCCUGGGGAGUACGGUCGCAAGAUUAAAACUCAAAGGAAUUGACGGGGACCCGCACAAGCGGUGGAUGAUGUGGAUUAAUUCGAUGCAACGCGAAAAACCUUACCUACCCUUGACAUGCCACUAACGAAGCAGAGAUGCAUUAGGUGCUCGAAAGAGAAAGUGGACACAGGUGCUGCAUGGCUGUCGUCAGCCCGUGUCGUGAGAUGUUGGGUUAAGUCCCGCAACGAGCGCAACCCUUGUCUCUAGUUGCUACGAAAGGGCACUCUAGAGAGACUGCCGGUGACAAACCGGAGGAAGGUGGGGAUGACGUCAAGUCCUCAUGGCCCUUAUGGGUAGGGCUUCACACGUCAUACAAUGGUGCAUACAGAGGGUUGCCAAGCCGCGAGGUGGAGCUAAUCCCAGAAAAUGCAUCGUAGUCCGGAUCGUAGUCUGCAACUCGACUACGUGAAGCUGGAAUCGCUAGUAAUCGCGGAUCAGCAUGCCGCGGUGAAUACGUUCCCGGGUCUUGUACACACCGC